CCUACGGGAGGCAGCAGUGGGGAAUAUUGCACAAUGGGGGAAACCCUGAUGCAGCGACGCCGCGUGAGUGAAGAAGUAUUUCGGUAUGUAAAGCUCUAUCAGCAGGGAAGAAAAUGACGGUACCUGAUUAAGAAGCCCCGGCUAACUACGUGCCAGCAGCCGCGGUAAUACGUAGGGGGCAAGCGUUAUCCGGAUUUACUGGGUGUAAAGGGAGCGUAGACGGCAGCACAAGUCUGGAGUGAAAUGCCGGGGCUUAACCCCGGAACUGCUUUGGAAACUGUGCAGCUAGAGUGCAGGAGAGGUAAGUGGAAUUCCUGGUGUAGCAGUGAAAUGCGUAGAUAUUAGGAGGAACACCAGUGGCGAAGGCGGCUUACUGGACUGUAACUGACGUUGAGGCACGAAGGCGUGGGGAGCGAACAGGAUUAGAUACCCCUGUAGUC
rnacentral:rRNA from 1 species